CCUACGGGUGGCUGCAGUGAGGAAUAUUCGUCAAUGGGAGAGAUCCUGAACCAGCCAAGCCGCGUGAGGGAAGACGGCCCUAUGGGUUGUAAACCUCUUUUGUCGGAGAACAAAACCCGGGACGUGUCUCGGACUGCGUGUAUCCGAAGAAAAAGCAUCGGCUAACUCCGUGCCCGCAGCCGCGGUAAUACGGGGGAUGCGAGCGUUAUCCGGAUGUAUUGGGUUAAAAGGGUGAGUAGGCGGUCCGUUAAGUCAGGGGGAAAAUUGCGGGGCUCAACCCCGUCGAGCCGUUGAAACUGGCAGACUUGAGUUGGCGAGAAGUAAGCGGAAUGAGCGGUGUAGCGGUGAAAUGCAGAGAUA
rnacentral:rRNA from 1 species